AUCUACAAUACACAUGGGAAAAACCACGAAAACACGAUGCAGCCAGCCCGUUUGCCGGGACUCGAACCCCGGACCGAAUUACGAGUGUUCAGCUUUGAUCGCUCGGCCGCUGGUGGACCGAUAAGCCAAAAUAGUCGAGUGACUACUCUUUUGCCAUGGUUGCUGUAUCACAUUGGUCAUUCUAACGGAUAAUUACAAACUGGACAUCUCUGGCAUUUAUCAGAUCUGAAGUUACAGAACAUGUCUGGCCCGUUAUCACACGAAGACUGGCACCAUACUGACCCCUUUCGGCUGUAGCAGAUAAAAUUUGGAACAUAUAGCUACUACAUUGACUAAUAUACCGAAACCAUACACAUAUCUACUCUUAUAACGAGAAUUGUAGCAGAAGUUAUUGUUAAUCCAACUGACACACAAGAUGCUUAUUUCUUUAUAUAUAUUUUAUUUUAUGCAUUUAUUUUAAGUUGAAUUGACCUGAAUUGAGCAAUUCCAUCUUUGUGGCUUAAGUUCCAUAUGAGACACAAGACUGUAAAACGAUUGGUCUUUCUUAAUAUUACACUUCUGAUACGUCACAGUGUACUCAGUGCUAGUACAAAGCUUUGCGACUAAAUUUUUAACAAAUUCCAGUAAACCUGCAAACUUUAACUGACAAUCUUUAUUAAAAUGACAUCUCAAAUUACUUCUCCCAGAAUAUCGUCUGUACCAACGUUUUUGCUUGAACGGGCAUUUUCGUAAUGGACAUGAAGAUGCUGAUGAUGAAUUAGGGAGUAAUCGCCCCUGGCCGCCUCGAAAAUAUGAUAGCAUCGGAAAAGUUCGAAAAUUGUUGCUGAAAAGUCAUCACCUGUCUCUUCGAAUAACAGCAGACUUCUUCAAAUAAAUAUUGAUUGGUGAUUAAA